rnacentral:rRNA from 1 species
GCGCGGCAAUAGUACCUUGAAAGCACACCAGUUCCGCAUAGAUCACUGAAGUUGAGCACGGUUGCGCGUGGUUAGUACCUGGAUGGGUGACCAUCUGAUAGCCAAUAGCGUGCUGCUAGCU